UGUACGAAUCGCAAUAUAGUCAACGAAUUCUGAUAAAAUCUAUAAAUACAGAUGUGUUCAUUUUAUUGAUUUAUUUUUGUUGCUCUUUGACUGCAUUAAAAUCAGUUGAAUUAUUGAUCGAAUUGGGACACGGUGCGAAACGACGAUAUGUUUCAAUAAAUAUGGUUGUUGAAAUUCUAGGACAAGAAAUUUGUUCCUGUUUUUUGUCCAUGCACUGCUUAACUGGAUGUGACACAACUAGUGCAUUUUAUAAAGUUCGGAAAAGGACCGCAUCUGACAUCUUAAAGAAGAAUCUUCUUACACUCAAAGAUUUGGCAAUAUUACCCCUUCUUCCAGAGGAUAACGCAUUGCAGCUGGCUACAAAAUAUGUGUUGUUGAUAUAUAAAAAUAAAGAUAAAAAUAGAACAACAUUUAAUGAAUUACGCUUGCGUAUGGCUACAACGACUGCUGCUGCGGUUGUAAGCAGUGCAACAAUCAAAAAGAGGUAAUAGAUGAAACGCAGUUAUCUGAAAACGACGAAGAAGAGGCUGAAUUCUAAAAACAAGUUUUAAAAAAAUGGACUUCUCUCUUCUAAAUAAAUUGGUGUAACAUUGUAUCAACUAAGCACGGAAAAAAAGACUCUUCGCAGUUCCACCGACAGGCAGGCGCCGCGCCGUCGCGUCGAUCCAAAACCAGCACGGUUGCGUCUAUAACCUCAGCAAAUAUUUUUAAGCUUUUUAAUUACGCGGCUUUGUAAAAUUCAUAACAAAAAAAC